rnacentral:lncRNA from 1 species
GCCGCUGAUACUGACGAGGUGUAAAUCGGAGUCGGCGAGAACGGCGGCGGAGAAGCUCGCCCCGGAGUUGGGUUUCUGGAAAACGAGAAAGUUGGGAAUUGUUGAUUCAUGCUCACCGAGUGUUUUGCGAUUAAUUAUUAGUUAUUAAUUAGUCUCAUUAGUGUUUAAUUCGUUUUAAUUUUUGGUAGCUGAAUUAGUGAAAAUUUAUUGAUGAUAGUUGUCUGAUACCAUAAUUUUAUAGUGAUUAAAUAUUGAAAGUGUGUAUAUUCACAUCUGGGGUCGCACUAGAGAAUCUCUAUUGCUCUCCUCUGUUUGUAUUGUAUGUGGGCAAUGUAAAUGGGUGUUGUUGGUAAUAAAAAAA